CCGCCCGUCGCUACUACCGAUUGAAUGGUUUAGUGAGGCCUUCUGAUUGGCGCCGCCGCCCCGGCAACGGAGUAGCGGAUGUCGAAAAGUUGGUCAAACUUGAUCAUUUAGAGGAAGUAAAAGUCGUAACAAGGUUUCCGUAGGUGAACCUGCGGAAGGAUCAUUACCGAUCAUCCAAAAACCCGCAAGGGUUUGUACACUGUGAACUGUCUGAACCUUUUAAGGGGUCGGCUAAGGCCGUUAAAUGGCUCGGGGUGAGAAAAUGCGACCAGCCUCGUUGUUGAGCGUUUUUUUUCUUGCACCGGCAGCCCCGCCUUGUGAUUUCCAUAUAUUUGAUAAACGUAUCCGACUGAAGUGUGUGCCGACCGACCUGUCGGUUGGCGACGAAUCAAAAAAGGAUGACAACUUUUAACGGUGGAUCUCUUGGCUCGUGCAUCGAUGAAGAACGCAGCCAGGUGCGAUAAGUAGUGUGAAUUGCAGAAUUCAGUGAAUCAUCGAAUCUUUGAACGCAAAUGGCGCUCUUGGGUUCUCCCAGGAGCAUGUCUGUCUGAGUGUCGGCUUCCAAAGUAUCGCGCACCGUGCGCGCGCGCAGGCUUCACGUCUCGCGGCGUACGGGUUGGUGCGGCAUUGGGGAGUCACGGCAAUUGUCUGCCGUGUCCCUCGAAGUGCAGAGAGACCCGGUUGGUGCGGCGUUCAAGCCGGCGCGACCGCAGAGGCCAAAAUAUCACUGUCCUCUUUCGGCGCGACGGCCAACCGCUACCCAAGUGGUCGAAAAAGGCGAACAAAAGCAGCGGCAGCUUGCUUUCUUCCUUGACCUCAGAUCAGACAAGGCUACCCGC
rnacentral:sRNA from 1 species